CUUUCGCCCCUAACUGAAAAAUAAAUUCUGUUGAAUGCGAUUUGAUUGGUCUUACUGAAGUUAAUUUUGAUCAAUUGCAUUGAAACCAACAAAUUCAACUUAGUAAUUAUUAUUAUUAAUUGCUUUUAGACAUCAUCCAGAUGGAAGAUAUGCUUUGGGGAAUUUAUUUGAUUAUAUGAAUGGCGCAAAUAAAGUGCUCAACCCUAUAGUUCACUGCACGUCAUCUUAAAGAACGCUAUGGAUCUUUUGAAAGGAGCAGAGAUACACACCCGAUAUCUGGCCAUACUUAACUCUAAGGAUAAUCGAAAAUAAGGUUUGGCCAUUCGAAGUAAAAUUGUGAGAGUAACUUCGGCUGCCACGUCAUCGGAGAUUCAGCCUACUCAUUUCACACGUCCGAAGAAACCGAAAUGACAUGAGCGGAGGGUGCUUCAAUUUUUUGUCGUUAAGUAUAUGUUAGUUACGGCAGCCGCCGUAGCCGAAUGGGUUGAUGCGUGACUGAAUCCAGAGAGAACGUAACUUAAAAUCUCGAUGAAACACCAAAACAAAGAAAAAGUUGUUUCUAGUAG